rnacentral:rRNA from 1 species
CACGUAGGGCGCAAGCGUUGUCCGGAAUUAUUGGGCGUAAAGAGCUCGUAGGCGGUCUGUUGCGUCUGCUGUGAAAACUCGGGGCUUAACCCCGAGCCUGCAGUGGAUACGGGCAGACUAGAGGUAGGUAGGGGAGAAUGGAAUUCCCGGUGUAGCGGUGAAAUGCGCAGAUAUCAGGAGGAACACCGGUGGCGAAGGCGGGUCUCUGGGCAGUAACUGACGCUGAGGAGCGAAAGCGUGGGGAGCGAACAGG